AUGGUUCUCGGAGAUUUUAACAUGAUCUUGCAUGCAUCGGAGAAGAGCAACACUAACCUAAAUAGGACCAUGAUGGCCAAGUUCAGGAGUUUCAUCGAUAGCAAUGAGUUGGAAGAAGUAUAUAUGCACGGAUGAAGGUUCAAGUGGUCCAACAAGAGGGACGCACCUACGAUGACUAAGAUUGACCGGGUGCUGGUCUCUAUGGACUGGGAGUUAGAGUUCCCCAACUGUCUCUUGCAGGCUUUAUCCACCGGAGUCUCUGAUCAUGCGCCUCUGCACCUUUGCACUGGGGCACUCUAUCUCCCUAGGAAGAGAUUUAGAUUUGAGAUCUACUAG
rnacentral:rRNA from 1 species